rfam:Clostridium pasteurianum BC1, complete genome.
AUCUUAUCCAGAGUGGUAGAGGGACUGGCCCGUUGAAACCCGACAACCAGCAUUGUUUUUAAUGUGUAUGGUGUUAAUUCCAGCAGAUUGUUUCUGAAAGAUAAGGA